rnacentral:snoRNA from 1 species
GUGAUGAUCCAAUGCAGGCGGCGACUCUGUGACCGUUGACCUGCCGACUGA